UACGAAGGGGGCUAGCGUUGUUCGGAUUUACUGGGCAUAAAGCGCACGUAGGCGGAUCGUUAAGUCGGGGGUGAAAUCCUGGAGCUCAACUCCAGAACUGCCUUCGAUACUGGCGAUCUUGAGUCCGGAAGAGGUGAGUGGAACUCCUAGUGUAGAGGUGGAAUUCGUAGAUAUUAGGAAGAACACCAGUGGCGAAGGCGGCUCACUGGUCCGGUACUGACGCUGAGGUGCGAAAGCGUGGGGAGCAAACAGG
rnacentral:rRNA from 1 species